CCAAUAGCGUAUAUUAAAGUUGUUGCAGUUAAAAAGCUCGUAGUUGAACCUUAGGCCCGUGCGGGUGGUCCGUCCUCUGGGCGAGCACUGCCUCGUCGCGGGUCUCACCUUCUGGCGAGCGUGGAUGCCAUUCACUUGGUGUCCGCGGGAACCAGGACCUUUACCUUGAAAAAAUUAGAGUGCUCAAAGCGGGCUCGUACGCUUGAAUACAUUAGCAUGGAAUAAUGAAAUAGGACGACGGUUCUAUUUUGUUGGUUUCCGGGACAGUCGUAAUGAUUAAUAGGGAUAGUUGGGGGCAUUCGUAUUCAAUUGUCAGAGGUGAAAUUCUUGGAUUUAUUGAAGACGAACUACUUCGAAAGCAUUUGCCAAGGAUGUUUUCAUUAAUCAAGAACGAAAGUUGGGGGAUCGAAGACGAUCAGAUACCGUCGUAGUCUCAACCAUAAACUAUGCCGACUGGGAAUCGGGCGAUGUUAUUUUUCGUGACUCGCUCGGCGCCCCGAG
rnacentral:rRNA from 1 species